AGUGAACGCUGGCGGCGUGCUUAACACAUGCAAGUCGAACGGGAUUUACAGGGUAGCAAUACCUUGUAAGUUUAGUGGCAGACGGGUGAGUAACACGUGGGAAACCUACACUGAAGAGGGGGAUAACCCUCCGAAAGGAGAGCUAAUACCCCAUAAGACCACAGGAAGACAUCUUCCAGCGGUCAAAAGUUACCAAACGCUUUUGGAUGGUCCCGCGGCCUAUCAGCUUGUUGGUGAGGUAAUGGCCCACCAAGGCUAUGACGGGUAUCCGGCCUAAAAGGGUGAUCGGACACAAUGGAACUGCGACACGGUCCAUACUCCUACGGGAGGCAGCAGUGGGGAAUUUUGGACAAUGGGCGAAAGCCUGAUCCAGCAACGCCGCGUGAAGGACGAAGGCCUUCGGGUUGUAAACUUCUUUUAGAGGGAACGAAAAAAAUGACGGUACUCUCAGAAAAAGCAACGGCUAACUACGUGCCAGCCGCCGCAGUAA
rnacentral:rRNA from 1 species